AGGCCGGCAGGCGGCGGCGGCAGCAGCAGCAGCAGCAGCAGCAUCUCGCGGCCGUAAAUGCGGCGUCUGCCAUCGCCGGGGCCUCCGACCAAGUUGGUCGCAGGGUGUCUCUCCUUUUGAGAAGCAUCUGUUCAAUUACUGAGAUUGCUCCGCCGCUGAUCGCUCUGCGUCACCCUCACCGGGGUCAGAGCACGGAAGCGGGAAGAGGGCAGCAACCCAGGAAGGAGACGGAGGGGAUCGCCCUCACCGCCCUCCAUUCACCGCCUUCUCAUUUUCCCCUCAAGGAUUGUCUUCUGAGUUGCCACGCCUGCUUGAACACCUCUGAAAUCAAACGAAAUAAGGAAGAAAUUAACUCAGCGGCGGGGUGGAAGAGGGGCAAUCAUCACAGAAAUGUCAUCCUACCUUCUCCGAAACCUACCUCCGUGAAGGCAUCCACUUAUCCCGCCGUCGCUGUCAGUGAGGCCCUGAGGGACCCAUGGAGUGGGCUUCUUCUCCCUCGGGGCCUGCGCAGGCCGGAACCCCUCCCUCCCCCCCUCCUCGAAACUCGAGCGACGAAGGGCGAGGGGGGAGUGAGUGCGGACUUUCUGAAACCCCGGGGAAAAGAUUCCAGGAUACCCGUGAAAGAGAGAGAGAGAGAGAGAGAGAGAGAAGGGGCAUCAGAGCCGAGAUUGAAUUUUCUGGUUCCACUUUCUCCAUUCUGUCUCUGCUGGUUCAAUUUUGCAAGCGUGUCAUGGGGAAGCGGACCACGUUAUGAAUAUUAUGUUUCUCUGCCCCGCCCAACCUCAGUCUUCUCCUUCGUCUUCCUAUUUCUUG
rnacentral:lncRNA from 1 species